ACGAACGCUAGCGGCUGCCUAAGGUAUGCAAGGCGAACGGUCCCGAGUAUCGGGAUAGUGGCGAACGGUCGAGUAGCACGUAGACAAACUGCCUCCAAGUGGGGGAUAACAGCGGGAAACUGCUGCUAAUACCGCAUGUGGCCCGCCGGGGCCUCCUCGGCGUGCUAAAGGAGCAAAUCCGCCUGGAGAUGGGUCUGCGGCCUAUCAGGUAGUUGGUGGGGUAACGGCCUACCAAGCCCGCGACGGGUAGCCUGGUCUGAGAGGAUGAUCAGCGGACGGGGACUGAGACACGGCUCCGACUCCUUCGGGAGGCAGCAAUGAGGGAUAUUGCGCAAUGGGGGAAACCCUGACGCAGCGACGCCGCGUGGGUGAGGAAGUCCUUCGGGAUGUAAAGCCCUUUUCUCGGGGACGAGAAGGACGGUACCCGAGGAAGAAGCCCCGGCUAACUACGUGCCAGCAGCCGCGGUAAUACGUAGGGGGCAAGCGUUGUCCGGAUUUACUGGGCGUAAAGCGCGCGUAGGCGGAAGCUUAAGUGUGGCCUGAAAGCCCCGGCUCAACCGGGGAGGGUGGCUGCAAACUGGGUUUCUUGAGGGCGAUAGAGGAGAGUGGAAUUCCUGGUGUAGCGGUGAAAUGCGGUAGAUAUCAGGAGGAACACCGGUGGCGAAGGCGGCUCUCUGGGUCGGCCCUGACGCUUGAGGUGGCGAAGCGUGGGGAGCGAACGGGAUUAGAUACCCCGGUAGUCCACGCCGUAAACGAUGGUCACUAGGUGUGUGCGGUAUCGACCCCGCACCGUGCCGCAGGCUAACGCAAAUGAGUGACCCGCCUGGGGAGUACGGCCGACAGGGUUGAAACUCAAAGGAAUUGACGGGGCCCGCACAAGCGGUGGAGCAUGUGGAUUAAUACGUCACUAACCGUAGAACCUUACCCAGGCUUGACAUCCCGGGAACUCCUCCGAAAGGAGGGGGUGCCCCGCAAGGGGAGCCCGGAGACAGGUGUUGCAUGGCUGUCGUCAGCUCGUGUCGUGAGAUGUUGGGGUUAGUCCCGCAACGAGCGCAACCCUCACCGCAUGUUGCCAGCGUAAAGUCGGGCACUCUUGCGGAACUUGCCCGCGCAAGCGGGAGGAAGGUGAGGAUGACGUCAAGUCAGCAUGGCCCUUACGCCUGGGGCUUCACACAUGCUACAAUGGCCGGUACAGAGGGUCCCGAUACCGCGAGGUGGAGGCAAUCCCAAAAGCCGGUCUCAGUUCGGAUCGCAGGCUGCAACUCGCCUGCGUGAAGUCGGAAUCGCUAGUAACCGCCGGUCAGCUAAACGGCGGUGAAUACGUUCCCGGCCUUGUACACACCUGCCCGUCACGUCACCUGAGUCUGCUGCACCCGAAGCCCGCUGGCCCAACCGCGAGGAGGGAGGCGUCAAAGGUGUGGCCGGUAAGGGGGACG
rnacentral:rRNA from 1 species